rnacentral:rRNA from 1 species
AACGAACGCUGGCGGCAGGCCUAACACAUGCAAGUCGAACGCCGUAGCAAUACGGAGUGGCAGACGGGUGAGUAACACGUGGGAACGUACCCUUCGGUUCGGGAGUAACUCAGGGAAACUUGAGCUAAUACCGGAUACGUCCGAGAGGAGAAAGAUUUAUUGCCGAGGGAUCGGCCCGCGUCUGAUUAGCUUGUUGGUGAGGUAACGGCUCACCAAGGCGACGAUCAGUAGCUGGUCNGAGAGGAUGAUCAGCCACAUUGGGACUGAGACACGGCCCAAA